UACGAAGGGGGCUAGCGUUGCUCGGAAUUACUGGGCGUAAAGCGCACGUAGGCGGUUAGGUAAGUCGGAUGUGAAAGCCCUGGGCUUAACCUGGGAACUGCAUUCGAUACUGCCUGGCUAGAGUAUGGGAGAGGGAAGCGGAAUUUCCGGUGUAGCGGUGAAAUGCGUAGAUAUCGGAAGGAACACCAAUGGCGAAGGCAGCUUCCUGGCCCAAUACUGACGCUCAGGUGCGAAAGCGUGGGGAUCAAACAGG
rnacentral:rRNA from 1 species